CAGUUGUUGCGCAGGUUGGCGAUGUAGUCAUCCUCUACAUUCCGUUCCACUGUUUUGAGGCUGGAGCCCGUGUACUCUUCGGAGAAGGUGUCUGCCACGUAGUAGGCGACGUUCAGGUGGUCAGUGACUCGCUUGUGGAUGUGGCCCACUGACCUGACCAGAAACACACCAGGCACAGAGUGGGCAGCUGGAAGUGCCACCCAGGCCACAGGAAGAGCUGGAUCCCUUCUGCACUGCAGCGGGAACUCACUGGCUCCCCAAAAUGAAGGGCUUCAAACAGACUUCAAGAGCAGAGGACAUCUCAGCGUCAGCAAAGGUGGGGACAGUGGCGGGGAGUCACGCUUCUGAAAUCGCGUAGGACAGUGCAUGUGUGCUGCCUUAAGGAAAGGGCUGGAGCUUCGUCUGCAUUCUCUGCGAGGCCUAUGAUCCUCAAAAGUCUAAGGGGCCCGGCCCGGGGACGGUAUGCAAGAUGGCGAGGGGCCCAGCCCGGCCCUGCCCGGGGCGUGCACUCACGGUCUCGGGCUCAGGCUGUAGGGAGGACUGGACACCAUGAGCUGGCUGAGCGCAGACACGAGGAUGAGGAUGAGGAUGGGCAUCAGCUGCACGAACACUCCUAGCCCGCCCUGAGGGGAAGAGCAAGAGCAGUGGUCACAGCCCUGAACAGUGUCGUGUCGCCUGCCUGGGACAGCCCCCUCUCCUCCCUUCCCUCUGACAGCUUUCCCAGAGGACAAAGCAACCGCUUUGGAGCACACGUGUGAGUGUGAGAGCAAGUGGCAGGCCGGGGACACAGACCCUCACCAUCCACAGCUUUCUGAAUUCUGAGCCACACAAAUGUUCUGCAGACAGCAAAGCAUCUAAUUAAAGGGCUGGGAUGCAGUCUGUGGCAUGGAACUGUUCUAGUACCCACAAGGCCUUGGGUGUGAUUCUUAGAACAAAGACAGGACAGCCAGAAAUAAAGGCAUUACACAUGAA